UUUUUCUUACAAAAUUUAUCCUUUACUUUAAUAUCCCUUGCAUAUCGACUGCAAACACAAUAAUAAUUCAACAGUAUGACAAGCAAGAAAAAGAAUCUUCACCAUAUUAUAAAUUUCGUCAACUCAGGUGGCGCUGUAGGAGCCUCAAGCAAGUUCAGCAGUGGAUGCUUUCACUAACUUGAAGAAUCUUCUGAUACCAUCACUGACGACUACCCAUACCUCUCCGAGGGCAUGAGACAGGUAAUUUUUCCAUUCAGUUUUUAUCUAGGUAAUUUUCGUGGCUGCCAUUCUAUGAUGAUGCAGGUAAAAAGUUGAUUUCCUAUUUUUACGGGCUAUAGCUAUUGUUAAUGUUUUGGCGAAGAAGGCUAACAUUCCAAGAAAAAGUAUGUAGAGCUUUUUUUUUUUUACUGUAAAUGCCCCUUUAGAAUUUAUUCAAUACAUGUCGCAUAGCAAUAUACAACUUUGUGUUGUUUUGUAGUGAUCGAUGAACAAAAACCCAGCUUUUGACCAUCUACUGACAUCUGUCUAAAGGUUUGGGUAUAGUCUUAUGUGGAAUUGGCAUGCUAUAACUUUCAAUGUUUAUCAUACAUAACGAAAGAGAAUACGAUUUAUCUAGAAGAUAUGAAAUCAUUCAUUCUAAUUUU
rnacentral:sRNA from 1 species